AGCGUACACGGUGGAUGCCCUGGCAGUCAGAGGCGAUGAAGGACGUGCUAAUCUGCGAAAAGCGUCGGUAAGGUGAUAUGAACCGUUAUAACCGGCGAUGUCCGAAUGGGGAAACCCAGUGCAAUUCGUUGCACUAUCGUUAACUGAAUACAUAGGUUAACGAGGCGAACCGGGGGAACUGAAACAUCUAAGUACCCCGAGGAAAAGAAAUCAACCGAGAUUCCCCCAGUAGCGGCGAGCGAACGGGGAGCAGCCCAGAGUCUGAAUCAGCUUGUGUGUUAGUGGAACGGUCUGGAAAGUCCGACGGUACAGGGUGAUAGUCCCGUACACCAAAAUGCACAGGUUGUGAACUCGAAGAGUAGGGCGGGACACGUGGUAUCCUGUCUGAAUAUGGGGGGACCAUCCUCCAAGGCUAAAUACUCCUGACUGACCGAUAGUGAACCAGUACCGUGAGGGAAAGGCGAAAAGAACCCCGGCGAGGGGAGUGAAAAAGAACCUGAAACCGUGUACGUACAAGCAGUGGGAGCACCUUCGGGUGUGACUGCGUACCUUUUGUAUAAUGGGUCAGCGACUUAUAUUCUGUAGCAAGGUUAACCGUAUAGGGGAGCCGCAGGGAAACCGAGUCUUAACUGGGCGUUAAGUUGCAGGGUAUAGACCCGAAACCCGGUGAUCUAGCCAUGGGCAGGUUGAAGGUUGGGUAACACUAACUGGAGGACCGAACCGACUAAUGUUGAAAAAUUAGCGGAUGACUUGUGGCUGGGGGUGAAAGGCCAAUCAAACCGGGAGAUAGCUGGUUCUCCCCGAAAGCUAUUUAGGUAGCGCCUCGUGAAUUCAUCUUCGGGGGUAGAGCACUGUUUCGGCUAGGGGGUCAUCCCGACUUACCAACCCGAUGCAAACUACGAAUACCGAAGAAUGUUAUCACGGGAGACACACGGCGGGUGCUAACGUCCGUCGUGAAGAGGGAAACAACCCAGACCGCCAGCUAAGGUCCCAAAGUCAUGGUUAAGUGGGAAACGAUGUGGGAAGGCACAGACAGCCAGGAUGUUGGCUUAGAAGCAGCCAUCAUUUAAAGAAAGCGUAAUAGCUCACUGGUCGAGUCGGCCUGCGCGGAAGAUGUAACGGGGCUAAACCAUGCACCGAAGCUGCGGCAGCGACACUAUGUGUUGUUGGGUAGGGGAGCGUUCUGUAAGCCUGCGAAGGUGACCUGUGAGGGUUGCUGGAGGUAUCAGAAGUGCGAAUGCUGACAUAAGUAACGAUAAAGCGGGUGAAAAGCCCGCUCGCCGGAAGACCAAGGGUUCCUGUCCAACGUUAAUCGGGGCAGGGUGAGUCGACCCCUAAGGCGAGGCCGAAAGGCGUAGUCGAUGGGAAACAGGUUAAUAUUCCUGUACUUGGUGUUACUGCGAAGGGGGGACGGAGAAGGCUAUGUUAGCCGGGCGACGGUUGUCCCGGUUUAAGCAUGUAGGCUGAUUGUCCAGGCAAAUCCGGAUAAUCAAGGCUGAGGUGUGAUGACGAGGCACUACGGUGCUGAAGUAACAAAUGCCCUGCUUCCAGGAAAAGCCUCUAAGCAUCAGGUAACAUCAAAUCGUACCCCAAACCGACACAGGUGGUCAGGUAGAGAAUACCAAGGCGCUUGAGAGAACUCGGGUGAAGGAACUAGGCAAAAUGGUGCCGUAACUUCGGGAGAAGGCACGCUGGUGUGUAGGUGAAGUCCCUGCGGAUGGAGCUGAGACCAGUCGAAGAUACCAGCUGGCUGCAACUGUUUAUUAAAAACACAGCACUGUGCAAACACGAAAGUGGACGUAUACGGUGUGACGCCUGCCCGGUGCCGGAAGGUUAAUUGAUGGGGUUAUCCGUAAGGAGAAGCUCUUGAUCGAAGCCCCGGUAAACGGCGGCCGUAACUAUAACGGUCCUAAGGUAGCGAAAUUCCUUGUCGGGUAAGUUCCGACCUGCACGAAUGGCGUAAUGAUGGCCAGGCUGUCUCCACCCGAGACUCAGUGAAAUUGAACUCGCUGUGAAGAUGCAGUGUACCCGCGGCAAGACGGAAAGACCCCGUGAACCUUUACUAUAGCUUGACACUGAACAUUGAGCCUUGAUGUGUAGGAUAGGUGGGAGGCUUUGAAGCGUGGACGCCAGUCUGCGUGGAGCCAACCUUGAAAUACCACCCUUUAAUGUUUGAUGUUCUAACGUUGGCCCCUUACCGGGGUUGCGGACAGUGUCUGGUGGGUAGUUUGACUGGGGCGGUCUCCUCCCAAAGCGUAACGGAGGAGCACGAAGGUUAGCUAAUCCUGGUCGGACAUCAGGAGGUUAGUGCAAUGGCAUAAGCUAGCUUGACUGCGAGCGUGACGGCGCGAGCAGGUGCGAAAGCAGGUCAUAGUGAUCCGGUGGUUCUGAAUGGAAGGGCCAUCGCUCAACGGAUAAAAGGUACUCCGGGGAUAACAGGCUGAUACCGCCCAAGAGUUCAUAUCGACGGCGGUGUUUGGCACCUCGAUGUCGGCUCAUCACAUCCUGGGGCUGAAGUAGGUCCCAAGGGUAUGGCUGUUCGCCAUUUAAAGUGGUACGCGAGCUGGGUUUAGAACGUCGUGAGACAGUUCGGUCCCUAUCUGCCGUGGGCGCUGGAGAAUUGAGGGGGGCUGCUCCUAGUACGAGAGGACCGGAGUGGACGCAUCACUGGUGUUCGGGUUGUCAUGCCAAUGGCACUGCCCGGUAGCUAAAUGCGGAAGAGAUAAGUGCUGAAAGCAUCUAAGCACGAAACUUGCCCCGAGAUGAGUUCU
rnacentral:rRNA from 1 species